UUUGCCCUCUCCCCUCUGGUUUCCACCAUGUUGGUUUUUGGUUUUGUUUAGUUUCAUUUAUUUUUAAGUUAUUUACAAUUAAUCUAUUUUUAUUUAAAACUCAUGUGUGGUCUCUCCUCCUUUGUCCAGCCUUGAGCUGGGUUGUGACAAAUUGGGGGCUUGUCCGGGAUCAAAUGAACUAUUUUGUCUUAAAGAUGCUUCCUCCGGUACCAAGGUUGCAGACAUCUGAGCUUCGACAAGUUUCAGAGUUUGUGGUGGAACCACAGCUUUAUGAGGUGUGGUGUGACGACCCUCUCUAGACAGACUCUUUGUCCUCUGCCUGCAGGAGCCUGGUGGGUGGAGUUGGGUCAUCAGGAAGAUUCAGCUCACCUGGACUGCCCAGCUUCUAUAUAAGCUGGAGGCAGUCAGUUAUCUGCCCUCUCCCCUCUGGCUUCUACCAUGAAGACUGGUAUUGCUAGGGAGAGCAAAGCUUGAGUCAUUCCGGGUGUGUGCUUCAUAGCAGAUAAAUCCAGUGAAAAAGGAGAAUGGGGGAAAGAGCUCAUUAUUUCUGAACCUAGAGCCUUGAGAUAUCCAUUUCUCCUGUCGGGCAUGUGGAAGUUUCUCCACCAUGAGCAGUGUCCAGGAAGGUCAACCCAGGAUUAUUGACAUGCGCCAAAUGAAUUCUCCUGACAUGGUGGGAUGACUCCUUGCCUAGCCACUUGGUCAAGAGGACCGAUUCUUCGCUGGCUGAAAGGUCAAGACCUCUGAUGGCAUUGAGGAAGGAAGACUGCCACGUCCUAAAACUCUCAGACAUCUUGCUGCGAGGUGCUCUAACUUGUUCUUCAGUUGCCUCCAAGAUCUCUGCCUGUGCAUUGGCAGCAGCUGCCUCUCUCUGGAGUUCCAAAGCUCCCAGUUCAGCAUCCAGUCUUGCCUUCUCCAGAAGCGCCUGUGCAUCCUCUGUUCUCUGUUUUGCCUCUCUCUCAGCCUGCUUGUGUUUCAGUUUGGCCUCUCUCUCAGCCUGCUCAAAUUUCAUCUUAGCCUCUCUCUCAGCUUGCUCCAGUUUUAGCUUAGCUUCUCUCUCAAACGCAAAUGACGCACGUACAUGUGCUGCCUCUGCCCUUACACAGGCCCUUGCUGCACUGGCGGAAGAUGCAGAAGUGCAGUCGCUGUUUGUGCUGACUUUAGAGGUUCUGUCAUUCUCUUCGGUUGGAUCCAUGAUGCAGUUUUAUGUGCUGUGUCUGAUCUGUUGCAGUGGUUGACUUUGCACCAGCUGGUCGCUUGCCUUUUUACUGUACUUAUCCCUCUAAUGGUGUUUCCUAACUAAAAUUAGACAGCCAGCCUAACUCUAUAAGAAUUCCUCAAUAAGCAACACCAUAGUCAGGACAUAGCCUUCCAGGUUUAAUACAGACUCUUGCAGAACAUGUUGACAAGUAAAAGAGUGAAACUGAAACAACAGAAACAUACACUGAGUUACUUGUAUACAAAUAGUAAAUGUAUAGACAUAUGUUUGUUAAAGCACUCCAUAUAAAGCCAGGAUUACACAGACUGUGCUCAAAAUAUACUAAAUGUAAACUAUAUGCUUCUGAGGCAGUAUGUACUGAACAUUGCAUAUAGCAUGAGCACCAAUCAGCUAGUAUCUAGCAUUAAUUUAAUGCAAACAUAAAAACAUCCUAUCAACAACAUAUAUUCUUCAACACUGAAAGAUAACCUUGCAAACACUAAAAAAUCACUCACAGGCAAUGCUCACGAUGAGACAAAUCAAAGGAUUAUAAUAGAUGUUAGAACACCACAUUGAUCUGCUGAGAUCUCCCCUGCAACUGUAAAAUGCUGUCCUGCUUCCUGUUUAUACUACAGCAAUACUACAUUUAAACAGAGAGUGGUGCUAAAGUGAACCUAAACAUUACACCAACUUUCUGAAGGGCAGAAGAACCUCAAUAAUAAACAGAAAGUAAAAUUAUCACUUUUCUGACAAUGUCAGCAAAUACUGAAAAUGUAUAAGCUUCAUCAAAGUGGAAUUUAUGGCUGAGUUGUUGUAUUAGAUUGCAUUGGAUUGCACAGUUGUUCCUAAUAAAGUGCUGCUAAAUGUAGAUUUUUGCUUGAUACUUGCUUUAUACUUCUUUAUUUUUACCUGCAGUAACCUUUGAUUUUGUAUAGAGUUUAACUAAACUGUUACUUUAUUGCCAACUAAGUGAUCUUUUUGUCAUUAGAAGUGAUGGCCAAGUGACAUUUAGUUUCAAAGGGAGUACCUGAUAGGAUCUUUUUUUCAACAAUUCCAGUGCAGUUGUAGAAUAGCUGCAGCUGAUCUUGUGGGUCUGUUCAUUGAGAGCCCACAACAGAAGAAUUUUGGUUAUUUGUUUACAUUUCAUUAGUUGAUAAAUUUAUGAAAACAUUGUGAAGUGUUGCUACACCUACUGAGUCACCAUCCUUAGCACCAGCUGCACAACAUUUUCUAGGUUGUGUGUUCUUGCUGAACCAGUUUCUCAUGCCAAUAAUCAAAGGAAUCCCAGGAUGGUAUGGUGAUUUUUACGUCAGCCAGUCAGACCGUAGGGGAACUGAAUUUAAAAAAAACACUCCUGAAAAAAUAGGUGAGUCUCACUCACAUCACUCAAAAUCUCGCUGUCACAGUGGUGAGCCACUAGAGGGUGCACAUACCCUGUAAUCAGCAUCUUUGAACAAGACUUGAACAAGACAUAUACACAGUGUUGUGUUGUUGUGUAAAUGAUGCAUGGCAGAAUUUUUCUCUUGUUUCUCUCUUCCAGCAUUUGUAUAAAAUGCUUGACUCAAAGUAUCCCACAGUUUCCUACAACAGUAUGGCAACAAUGUAGCAGGUUCUGCACACUGGAGCUUUAGAAACCCAGUCCAGCCCUCACUCUAAGAAUAAGAAUCAAUCUGCCCAUGGUGAACAGCACAGGACUUUUCCGGUGGCUAAUUCUCUUUUUCCUAGAGUCAUCCCUGCUGCACAGAUCCCCUCUACCUUGCUGGCCUGAAUACAAGAGACAAAGCAGUUGCUCAAUUUAACAAUAGGUCUCUCUCAUGCAAGUAUAAUUUUGUCUUUAAGGGGGUGUUGUUUCUGGGUCCAUGGAACAACCAAGCAGAACUGAUUUCUGUAGAUUUGACUUACACACCAUUUAUUAUUACACUUCACUCAAAGAGAAACACUUAAAACCUGCAUAAGUAAAUAUGAACCCUUCUAAUUUGACUUAAAAAAAUUAACAAUAGGAGGACUUACUUUGACUACAACUGAAUGAAUGUAAACUUGACAUCAAAUUUCAAUACUUCAAUGAUCAAGUAUAUGUAAUAAAAUAUUAACCUCUCAUUUAAUAUUUCAGUUAUAUACAUGAACACUGUUUCAUUAUUGAAGUGAAGUGUGUGAAUAAAUCACACUUCCAUUUUUCUUGUUGAAAAUUGCACUAGUAUUACAAGAAAGACGUAGUAAGACUAAUGCAAGACUUUCUUAUAAGAUUAAAGUUUUUGAAACAUCUUUUAACUCUUGAUUUUAUUUCUUGCGAAGGACCACAGAUCUCUGGAGACAAUAUCCAUUUCACUAAUGGAAGUGUUUAAUUCAACAAGUCCUACAUAUUAAGCAACAAUAUACAUUGUAUUGCCUAUUGUAAGGUUCCCAUCAUUUCAGUUUAUAAUAUGCUGUUGUGCAUACAUACACUUUUGCAAUGAAUUAAUUUUACCACAAAGUAAUUGCCAUAUGGUGAACCUGGGGUUAUUACCGCUAGCUAGGUGGAGCAAGUUGGCACUAGCUUGCCAGUUACAAUGAUAGUUAUCUUUAAAUUAAACAGAUGUAAGGUUUGCCUGACUGCAUUGAUAUGUAUGUAUGUAUGUGUGUGUAAGAUUUAAUGUUAUAGUGUUUUGUGGUUUGUAUUUUCUUUGUUUUGUUCGUUUUCCUCUAGCAGCUAAUAACGAUUAUUUUCAGUUUGUUUAUAACGGUUAGUAACGUUUAUUUUCAGUUCCAGUUUAUAACGGUUCAUAACGUUUAUUUUCAGUUGUUUACAACGGUUAUAGAAUGUAGUCAGAGCCAGAGCCCGAACAGCUGAUAAGCAGCAUUAUUGUUUACCGUUGUCAAGACAACCAGGCAGCUCACGUUGUAAUAUGUCACGUGUAAACAGAGAGGAUGAAUGAGGGAGAUUAUAUUGUAAUGCAAAUGUUGCGUGAUUGAAGUUAUGAGGGAAUUAGAUCAUUGUUUUAUACCUGAAAUGAUAAGAAUUGUAAAUAAUAGACUGAUAUAGUACUUUCAAUGCUCUGUUAUAGAAUUGAUCAUUUUUA